UUCAGUAGCAGUAUUUGUUUGCUGUGUGU
rnacentral:piRNA from 1 species